rnacentral:lncRNA from 10 species
GUUGCAACAUCACAUGUGGAUGUCCAGUUUCCUGCACUGCCCAGUAGCAAUCAAGCAGUUGCCAUUCAAUAGAUGUACAUCUGGGGGCUGCUUUAGGAAUUACGUGUCCAAAACCUGAGGCCGGUGCACCCCAGUGGCAGUUUCCUGUUGCAAGAGGCUCCAAUUGGCACGUGUGGAGAUGGCAGACACCUAUAAUUCCAUUGGGCUAGCAGACUCUAAAAGUUUUAAAGGCUGUGCCCCAGACAAAAGUUGUUAAGUGACUUCCAAGUCCUGCUAUUACAAAGGGCCCUGUUCAAAGUUGGCAGCUUUGCCUGUCACCUUGACUAAGGAGGGCAAAAGAACACAAGGUGGGUAUAUGCUGUCUCCAGCACUCAAAGAGACCUACCUGCUAUGGAACCUCCUCUUGAUUAGUGGAUGCUGCCAGGCCAACAGUUUUUGCUUGAUGGCAUCUGGGAUAUUUCUUUGGCUUCCUGCCCAAGUGGCCUUGGCGUUCAGCCUGCAACAGUCUGUUGUUGGUCUCCAUCCCCUGAAGGUCUUUUUGACCAGCCAAAGUCAACCGUCACAUUGCGACAGAAUGGCAAGAGGAACCCACUGGGCACUUAAACUCCAAGGCUCAGGAAGGCUGCCCAGAGUAGAAGUCUGGAAAGAGUAGAACAGAGGGUCUUUGGCCUAUGUGGAGAUUAAAUGAACCUGUACAUAUAAAUACCAAUGCAGAAACUCACUUCCUUCUUCCUAACUUGCUUCUCAGAACAUUGGCAGCCAGAUCUUUAAUAUCUAGGCAGGAAAUUGGAAGUCUCCCCUGGGAUUCUAAUCAGUGAAAGAGGAAAAACCUAGAGACCCUGAGAAUGGUCCAUCCUAGAAUAAGCUGCAAGCUGACGAUGACCGCCUAGGUGCACAGAGCUUGUAAUCAGUUGUCUAGUCCCCCACUCUUAGCCCCAGGAAAACCAAUUGUCAGACGCCCAAGAAAAAUGAUAUUUCAGAAUACCGAGCGUAAAGAGAAUGUGUUUCAAAUUUCCGAAGAAAAAGACAGGUCACAUACAAAGGAUCGGGGACUUGCAAAUGUCAACACUGGAAAAAUAGAAGGCAAUGGAGUAUUGCCUUCAAAACCCAAAAGGACAAUGAUUUCCCAAGUAGAAUUCUAACCACAACUAUCGAGCAGAUCUGAUGGCAGCACAAAACAGGUGCAGACAUGUAAGUUCUCAACAACAACAAAAGUAAUUGCCCAUAUCAUUUUCCAGGAAGCAGCCAGAGGGUAGCUUCCCCCAAAGAAGAGAAUGAGCCAAGAUAAAGGAAGACAUGGAAUAUAGAAUAUUAAGAAGUCCAACCUAGAAGGAAAUGGAAAUCUCUAGGAUGAUGUAAAUCUUCAGCUGAACAACAAUAAAAAAUUCUGCAAUGACAAAUAAGUGUAGGGCACAGCAGGCACCCCAGCCAGAACAGGCCGUGUGACUCUGAGGCAGCACGCCACUAUCGAUGUCACUGCCUCCUCAGCCUCGUGCCACCUCCUCCCUGGGAUGAAACAAUGGGAGGAUGUGCUCCACCAACCAAGGAGAUAAAGUCAAAAAAUAGGAAGAUGUGAGAUCCAGGAAACAGAGAAUCCAAGCAGGAAAAAG